CGUCGUAGUGCUUAUUACACGCUGGUCAUAUUCGGCGAAUUUUCUCCCAAUACCGCAGGCUCGCAUUUUCAGCGGAAUUGCGGUGAAAAAUUGAAAGUUUUGCAUUUUGCACAGAACUGGCUACUUUCUGUAAGAUGUCCGCUGACAAUACAAGCCCGCACAAGUGGGAGUACUUUUGCUAAAUUGGACCAACGUGUUAUUCAUAACAUAUCUUAUACAGCUAUUUCAAUUAAAGUUGUGACUGGGACAAUAGUCAAAUGUACAAUAUGGGCGCUAAAACGAUGAUGGCAUUGGCAAUAAUCAUAGAUUUAAGUACUAUUUAAAAACGCGUAG